rnacentral:misc_RNA from 1 species
AAGUCGUAACAAGGUUUCCGUAGGUGAACCUGCGGAAGGAUCAUUAACACGUAUCCGAGCGCGCUGCUCCUCUCGACGUCAGCAAUCCUGGUAAAUCAGUGGCGAAAGUAGUCUUUGAUUCAGGACCUCUGAAGUUGUAAGCAGGCAGUUUGAGCCUUCUAUCGCCAGUCUGGAGUCCAUCGCCGGUGUAUCACACGCCGAAGCGGACAGACUGCAGGGUGUAGUGCCCCUUUACGACGACCAAGUUAAAUUAGGCCUCUACCACAUAGCAAGUGCGCCGUGGUAGAGGAAAACGUACAACUGUUAACAAUGGAUAUCUUGGUUCUC